rnacentral:rRNA from 1 species
AAUUUUGGACAAUGGGGGAAACCCUGAUCCAGCCAUCCCGCGUGUAUGAUGAAGGCCUUCGGGUUGUAAAGUACUUUUGGCAGAGAAGAAAAGGUACCUCCUAAUACGAGGUACUGCUGACGGUAUCUGCAGAAUAAGCACCGGCUAACUACGUGCCAGCAGCCGCGGUAAUACGUAGGGUGCAAGCGUUAAUCGGAAUUACUGGGCGUAAAGCGUGUGUAGGCGGUUCGGAAAGAAAGAUGUGAAAUCCCAGGGCUCAACCUUGGAACUGCAUUUUUAACUGCCGAGCUAGAGUAUGUCAGAGGGGGGUAGAAUUCCACGUGUAGCAGUGAAAUGCGUAGAUAUGUGGAGGAAUACCGAUGGCGAAGGCAGCCCCCUGGGAUAAUACUGACG